AGCAGUAUGGUGUAAUGAUGCACGCGGGAUUUUCUUGCGUAUCAAGCUGAAGUGCAAUCCCCGAGGUCCUUGUUCGAAUCAAGGUACUGCCC